UAGCUGCAGGCGCGUACUUCCUUCGAAUGCGUCGGAUCUCGGUCUCAAAAGAAGCCUUCAUCUGAGUCUUCUCGAGGACAAGCUGAUCAACAAUCUUCUUCCAAGCGACGGAAAGCUGAGGCAUACUAGAGGAAGAUGAAACCUUCGGCUCUCUAUGUCUCUUUGUCACUCGGUCUUCAAGUAGCUCAAUAAGUACAUAUUUGUCCUUAGACUCAAGCUGCAACUCAUCAUGCUUUCGGCUCAAAGCAUG
rnacentral:lncRNA from 1 species